GUGAGGAAUUUUCCGCAAUGGGCGAAAGCCUGACGGAGCAAUGCCGCGUGAAGGAUGAAGGCCUAUGGGUUGUAAACUUCUUUUCUUAGAGAAGAAUAUUGACGGUAUCUGAGGAAUAAGCACCGGCUAACUCCGUGCCAGCAGCCGCGGUAAUACGGAGGGUGCGAGCGUUGUCCGGAUUUAUUGGGUUUAAAGGGUGCGUAGGCUGGAAGGUCAGUCAGCGGUGAAAAGCUGUCGCUUAACGAUAGUCUUGCCGCAGAUACUUCCUUUCUUGGAUGAGGAGGAGGCCACUGGAACGGAUGGUGUAGCGGUGAAAUGCAUAGAUAUCAUCCAGAACACCGAUUGCGAAGGCAGGUGGCUGUACCUUAAUCGACGCUGAUGCACGAAAGCAUGGGGAGCAAACAGGAUUAGAUACCCUAGUAGUCC
rnacentral:rRNA from 1 species